UGCUACCUGGUUGAUCCUGCCAGUAG
rnacentral:rRNA from 1 species